UCGAUGAGUUUGGUUCAAGGACGCUCCAAUCUUGUCCCCAUGAUGAAACCUGCUCUCCCUGCACUUGAACUACUUCUUCAUUCAAACGAUGAAGAAGUCGUAAAAAAUGUUUGCUUGGCACUGUGACAUCUCUAAUGGUUCUGAAGAUGGUAUCCAAAGUUUGACUGAGGCUGACUUUGUCUCAAAACUAGUUCAAUUUCUCAAACACCCUUCUCCAGCGGUGCUUAUU